UCCUAGGUGUGAUAGUUGACGAUGCCCUCCUCUUAGUAUUUUGCUCCUAUCAUCAUCACUAUCAGAUCUAUUUUUUUUAAUUUCAAUUUUAAAAAUUUGAAAAUUAGUACUUUUAUGUAUCUGAAGAUUUUGAAUUUCAAAUAUUGAUGGGUUGGUAGUGGAGAAUUUGAAAUUUAAAUUUUAAAUUUGAAUUUUGGUGUUGUUGGUCUGGUGGGACUCUUUUUUUUUUCUUUUGCUAUAGUUUUUUUUCUUUUUUUAUACUUUUUUUAAAUAAAUUUUAGUGACUAUUGUGCUAAAGCACAUUAAUCUCCUUUUAUAU
rnacentral:lncRNA from 1 species